ensembl:lncRNA
GGAGCGGUGGCGCGGGGGCUGGGGAGGGGCUAAAGAGAAGGGGGGUCUCUUCGCCCCAUCCCCUCCCUCUCUGACUGUCCGAGCCCUGAGUGCCUCCCCAGAAGGGGUCGAGGGAAUGUUGUGGGCUGGGACACACUGGGGAGGUCACAAACUGGAGCAAGCGCCAGACGUCGCCGGGGACCCAGGGCCCUCUCCUUCCAGUUCCCCAGGCCCAGCGGCCCCGCUGGCCACUCCCUCUAUAGCGCCCACUCUGCCCCGGGCGUCCCUGGGCUAGCAGCCUGGCCCUUUGACCCGGGCACUUGGAAGUCCUCUCUCCGGAUCACUGCUUCGGCCGGCACUUUGGGGAGGGUGCUCCCGAGUCCUGCUUCCCGGGCGCUCGCUCUGGAUCAGGCGCCUGCGCCCUCAGGGGGCGCCCCCCACACCCCGACUGCGGAGUUUGCGCCUCUCCUAGGACCGCUUGAGAGAAGGACAAACUUUUAAGUGGAUCAAAAUCAAGAGGAGCCCGUCCAGAGCAGGAUUGAUGGAGUUAACAGUCAGCAGCUUGGCAAGGCUCCCCUAAGCGUGUAGGGGGAGCUGUGGACCCAGCCCCGACUUCUCAAGCUGGGGGAACAGCCCCAUUUCUGGGUCCUUGAAAUUGACCCCCAAGUUGAGGGCAGUUGAGAGAGGACAGCUGUGCUGCCACAGGAAAGAAGUCCCCACUUGGGGAGGGGGCAGUCUUAUGCCACAUGCCUUUUGCAGAGAGAGGCUUUAGAAACAAAGGAAGCUAGAAAGAAGGUCGAGGAAACAGCACAAAGGACUGGAAAAGUUGAGAACCACAAAGAGAAAAGACUGAUGAAGAAAAGAUUUGAGAAAGCCCCAAUGCUUGGGGCAGAGGCAGCAGCUCCAGCAGGGCAGGAGGAGAGAGAUGAAUGUGGAGGAAUACUGAUAAAGGACAGAACCAAGAAGCAGGAUUAGUUUGUUUUCUGAGAGAAAAAAGCAGAAAGGAAGAAAAGAGAAAGAAAGAAAGAAAAAUAGAGAAAAGCGAAAUAGGGAAAAUAGAGAAAGCAAAUGAAUGAAAGGAGGGAGCUAGAAAUGAAAAGAAAAAAGAAAUGCAAGAGAGAAAGAGAAAGAGAGCUGGGUAGGAAAGAGGAAGAAUAGGAAAAAAAGAAGGAAGGGAAUAUGAAGGAAGACUAUAGAGAGAAAAAAGUGAAGGGAGAGGAGAAAGAACACAAAAUAAGGAAGGAAAAAUGAGAAAUAAAGAUAGAGAGAAAGCGGAAACAAAGAAAAGGAGAGAGAAAAAAUUUGGGUUAAUAGAACGGGGUCGGAUUGGGGAGGAGCGGUGGGAGGAACGAGUAGGGUGGAGGAUGAGCAGGGAGAGGCCGGAGAGUGCAGGGUCUCCCAGGUACCCCGGCUGUUGCCUUCCUGACCCGCCGCCACCACCACUGCCCCAGCCCCAGCGCCCACCCAGGCGUCUGCAGCCGGCGCCACCAGGGAGGUGCAGGCGGAGGCCGGCCUCCUGCAACCAGCUUCUCCGAGAAGCAGCUGAUGGCGCUGGAGAAGGAGUUCCUCCCGCGGCCCCACCUGCCUGGGGCGGCAGCCUCGAGGCUCCGCAGGUCAAGAUCGGGUUCCAAAACCAGCGCAUGAAGCAGAAGAGGUGGCUUAGAGAGGCGGCAGUGGGGAACUCGCCCUUGCUCAGGCUCCUCACCCCCAGCCACAGCGCCUCUACUCUGACCCUGCGGGCAAAGGCUGUCUGGAGCCUGGGCCGCUUUGUUCUGCAAUGCUCUGGCUCUGUGACCUCGGACCUCAGUUUGGUCAUAGGUCAAAUGAGCCCUUUCCACUGGAGGGCUCUUCUGUAAUUUUGGAGAGCCUGCCUCUAAGCGCAGGAGAGAGGGGAGUGAAGAUAAGGCCUGGUCCCCUCUGGGGAGGGCCACUUAAUUUUCUUCCUUGGUGAGAAGAAAAAUCUUCCUCCUUUGCCAUCCUUAUCUCCAUCCCUGCCCAGUAAACUACCUCCCAGGGCCAGGAGUUGCCCCACGCAGAGAGGGUAGGAUUAAUCCAUAAAGAGCCUGGAGUGAGGUUUACGAGUACCAGAGGUGCCAGAGAAAGAAUCUCAUUCUUGAACAAGAAUGAGGACGUUCCCUCCUCGGUCAAGUGGACUUCAGCUUUGUAGUGUGUUUCACUGAACUCAUACUCACAAAGAGGUUAAUUGGCAAAAUGGCUUUAGAUUAAGCCUGGAGAGAUCAGCGUGGGGGUGCGUGUGUCUAUAGCCUGUUGGGCCUGCGCUCCCACGCCCUGUCCACGUGCUGGGCAGCUGCCCAGUGAAAGCCAAUUAGAUAACUCCUUUGUUCCCCAAAAAUGAGAUGGGGCAGGCCACUGAGGUCAGCCAGGUCUCCCAAGGGCAGUGGAAGCCUUGAGGAUGGGCUGGAGGACCCUCAGACCACCAGCUGGAAAGCCGUGUCCUAGGGAGGCCUCGGCCCGCACUUCCCACCUCAGCCCUCCUCCUCUCUCUCAGCUUCUCCUUUCCUUCAUUUCUCUCUCCCUGCCUUCCUUCUUCCUUCUGUUUUUCCUCUCUUUCCCUUUUCAUCCAGUCCACACCGAGGCUUGGUACUGUCUUUGUAACCCGGAUGCUGUCCUCAGAAACCUUUAGGCCGGCUAACAAGCACCUGCUCUCGGGAGUUCAUUAUGUGGAUGCAAAUAUUGAGAUUGGAAGAUGAGGGGCAAAAUGGGAGUAAGCUUUGCUAAUCAGGUGUGGAAUGAAUCAACUUGUUUUCUGUGUCAGUCAUUAUUGCCAUCACAUCCCCGUGGCUCACCCGGGAAAACCCUUCCCGCCUCCACCCAUCUGCAGCCCUGCCUCCUCCUUGGGGGUGGCGUUGCUGGAGCCCCGAGGCUCGUUGCUUCCCUAGGGUUAGUGGGGCCUGCAGGAACUCACCUUGGUGCAGGCGAGGCAAGGUCAGUGAUGCCAGGUAAGAGCCUCAGACCACUGAAGAAGCCCAGCCUACUUCCCUAUUCCCAGAGCAUUCAGGGCUCCUCUUUCCCUUGGAUAGGGAAGCUUGUCCAUUCUGGCUCCCGGCUGUCUCCAAGAACACCCCUGAUUAGCUGGGCCCACCGCCAUCCAUCUCUAUUCAGCAGGGAAGGGAGGCCAUUCAUUCUAGGCCUUGAUGGAAGGGAUGCAGACUUAUCUUCCCAGAACAGCCUUCCUUGCCCCAACCUGGCCCCUCGGGGAAGGAGGGAACCCAAUCCACUUCGCAGGACCCGGACUCUCAGCUGGCAGAGCCGACAGCUGCAUCCUGGAGCCUGACGCUGGAAGCAGCUUCUGCCUUUGGACUCUCCUUGUUGCCUGGGCCCCUGCUGUUCAGUUUGCUGCUGUGUUUUUCUCCCUCAUUUGGGGGUGGUGGGGCACAGGGAAAUGAAAUGUUUCUCCCCAAGCCCCUAAUCCUCCCCCUUGCCCAUGCCAAACCUUAAAGCUGCUGAUGGUAAUGAACCGCAGCUUCCAGCCCUGCUCAUAAGCUGCUCAAAGCAAAUUCAAAUUCUCCUCUGGGUGGGAGGAAGGGCAGGUGCUCCUUCCUCAGUCCUCCUUUGCUAAUUGAUCCAUUUUGAGGGCAUUUGGGGGUCAAAAUUGAGACCAGAUUGCUUCAGCUGGUAUAAAAUUAGCAUUUCCCAUCACACCAAAGAUCCAGACUUCUUGCACCCAGGAAGAGGAGGUCUUCGUGCACCCGCACGCCCGUUCUCUGGCCUCUCAAACCCGUGAUGAUAUAAAGGUUUGUUGAGGUGGAGGAAGAGAAGGGAAACAUGCAAUUUGCUCCCUCUAGAAGUCAGUAGCUUCAGCUGUUCAUUCUGCUAACAUUUAUUUACUACCUACUAUGUGCAAAGCAUUGGCUCUACCUCAGUUUGUCACGACUGUCAAAAACAGUUCUUGCCACUGCGAAGCCUCGGCGCGUGUGGACAAAUAUAUAAAUAAACAGAUUGAUGGAAAAGAAAGUUUGGAUUCAGCUGAUUUUGGUUGCAGCCUUCCGUGUGUCCAGUCUCAGAGCCCCUGUCUUCCAAGCUCCAGCUACCCAGACCCAAUCAAUUGAAAACCAGGACCGUCCUGGGGCUCAUUUGUUUCCCCACCGCCCAGGGAAAAUAUGAGAAUGGGAACAAGAGACUGCACUGGGACCAGCAGACGUGAAAGCCCUGAGAUAAAAGGUUUGGGAUGGUCAGCAGAGGGGCCCUUGGAAGGACCUCCUCAUCUUUGAGGUGUGCAUUGUCUGUGUGUGGGGUGGUAUGUUUCUCUGGGUUUCUGAGCAGGCUGCAGGUUUGCCUUGGUGUAAUUGCAUGCCUGAAGGUGACAGCAAGGGUGUGCGUGUGUAAGUGAGCUGAAGGGGGUGGACAAGUGUUCCUGCCCCAGGCUUGUGUGCACUGGGCCCAGACGCCUGCACAGGAGCAGGUGUGUGUGUGUGUGUAUUGGAGGGGUGCUGUUCACGCGGAUCUGAACACAUAUCUGCAUACAUGACCCUCUGUGUAUGCAGGAGUGUGUGUACUCGCUGAAUUAUUAUAAAAUUACACUGACCCUUACAGAAAAUCCAUACUGGCCUCGGCCUCUCUCCCCCGACCUCUCGACCUCUGGGGUGCCUGAGGAAAGAGCUGACCGGGUCACCACCUCCCCCUAGUCAAUGAGUCUCUCUCCAUUAGCAUAAAACAUGAAUCUGCUGGCAGCUUGAC